rnacentral:rRNA from 1 species
GACGAACGCUGGCGGCGUGCUUAACACAUGCAAGUCGAACGGAAAGGCCCUGCUUUUGUGGGGUGCUCGAGUGGCGAACGGGUGAGUAACACGUGAGUAACCUGCCCUUGACUUUGGGAUAACUUCAGGAAACUGGGGCUAAUACCGGAUAGGAGCUCCUGCUGCAUGGUGGGGGUUGGAAAGUUUCGGCGGUUGGGGAUGGACUCGCGGCUUAUCAGCUUGUUGGUGGGGUAGUGGCUUACCAAGGCUUUGACGGGUAGCCGGCCUGAGAGGGUGACCGGCCCAAAUGGGAACGAGAUAAGGGCCCAAACCCCAAGGGGGGGAGAAGGGGGGGAAAUUGCACAAUGGGGGGAAACCCGGGUGCGGAAACGCCGGGGCGGGAAGAGGGCCCUUGGGGUGGAAACCCGUUUUGCCGGGGAACAAGGGGGGGGUAAGGGAAAUGGGUAAAAAAGCCCCGGCUAACUACUU